UGGGGUAUAGCUCAGUUAGUAGAGUACGUGCCUCAUAUGCACAAGGCCCUGGGUUCAAUCCCUAGCACAACAC
rnacentral:tRNA from 1 species